rnacentral:rRNA from 1 species
UAGGGAAUCUUCCACAAUGGACGCAAGUCUGAUGGAGCAACGCCGCGUGAGUGAAGAAGGUUCUCGGAUCGUAAAGCUCUGUUGUUGGUGAAGAAGGAUAGAGGCAGUAACUGGUCUUUAUUUGACGGUAAUCAACCAGAAAGUCACGGCUAACUACGUGCCAGCAGCCGCGGCAAUACGUAGGUGGCAAGCGUUGUCCGGAUUUAUUGGGCGUAAAGCGAGCGCAUGCGGAAUGAUAAGUCUGAUGUGAAAGCCCACGGCUCAACCGUGGAACUGCAUCUGAAACUGUCAUUCUUGAGGGCAGAAGAGGAGAGUGGAAUUCCAUGUGUAGCAGUGGAAUGCGUAGAAAUAUGGAAGAGCACCAAUGGCGAAGGCGGCUCUCUGGUCUGCAACUGCCGCUGAGGCUCGAAAGCAUGGGUAGCGAACAGG